rnacentral:rRNA from 1 species
CCUACGGGUGGCAGCAGUGAGGAAUAUUGGUCAAUGGGCGCGAGCCUGAACCAGCCAAGUAGCGUGAAGGAUGACUGCCCUACGGGUUGUAAACUUCUUUUAUAAGGGAAUAAAGCAAGGUAUGUGUGCCCUUUUGUAUGUACCUUAUGAAUAAGGAUCGGCUAACUCCGUGCCAGCAGCCGCGGUAAUACGGAGGAUCCGAGCGUUAUCCGGAUUUAUUGGGUUUAAAGGGAGCGUAGAUGGGUUGUUAAGUCAGUUGUGAAAGUUUGCGGCUCAACCGUAAAAUUGCAGUUGAAACUGGCAGCCUUGAGUACAGUAGAGGUAGGCGGAAUUCGUGGUGUAGCGGUGAAAUGCUUAGAUAUCACGAAGAACUCCGAUUGCGAAGGCAGCCUACUAAACUGCCACUGACAUUGAUGCUCGAAAGUGUGGGUAUCAAACAGGAUUAGAUACCCGGGUAGUC